UGGGGAAUAUUGGACAAUGGGCGCAAGCCUGAUCCAGCCAUGCCGCGUGAGUGAUGAAGGCCCUAGGGUUGUAAAGCUCUUUCACCGGUGAAGAUAAUGACGGUAACCGGAGAAGAAGCCCCGGCUAACUUCGUGCCAGCAGCCGCGGUAAUACGAAGGGGGCUAGCGUUGUUCGGAUUUACUGGGCGUAAAGCGCACGUAGGCGGACUUUUAAGUCAGGGGUGAAAUCCCGGGGCUCAACCCCGGAACUGCCUUUGAUACUGGAAGUCUUGAGUAUGGUAGAGGUGAGGGGAAUUACGAGUGUAGAGGUGAUAUUCGUAGAUAUUCGGAGGAACACCAGUGGCGAAGGCGGCUCACUGGACCAUUACUGACGCUGAGGUGCGAAAGCGGGGGGAGGAAACAGG
rnacentral:rRNA from 1 species